rnacentral:lncRNA from 1 species
UCCAGUUCGUCACGAAAGAGCUGGAGAGUAUGCAUGCCGCCCUCCGUGAUGUUGGAGAGGUGCCACAGGAGCAACUUAAAGAAGUAAUCAAGAUCUGGGCUCGGGAUGUUCGGGAGCUCUCCUACGACAUGGAGGACAUAGUUGACACCUUCCUGGUGCGUGUCCAGGGCUCCGAGCCUCCCAGCAAAAGGAGUGUGAAAAGGUUAUCAAGAAGAUGACAAGUAUUGUGAGCAACGUCAAGAGUCGCCAUGAGAUUGGCCAAGAGGUCAAGGACAUCAAGGAUCGUGUCAAGGACGUGGCCGAGCGACGGGACAGGUCAGUGCCGAGGUGUUACUGACUUGCGUUUGAAUUUCAAUAAAAUUUUCUCUGAUUUACCACAUUGUUCUGUUUUUUUUCAUCUCUACACAGGUACAAGGUUCAUGCAAUUACUCCUACCAAAACCUCAGUUGACCCUCGCAUAGCAGCUCUGUACACUAAAGCGUCUAGCCUUGUGGGCAUUGAUGAGCCAAAGGAAGAGCUGAUCUCAAUGUUGACAAAGGAAGAUGGUGCACUACGGCAGACAGCGCCUUUGCCUAGCGUAUGGUUAUUUGCCGAGCGCUAUAAAUCGGGCGCUCGGCAAAGGCCACCUUUGCCUAGCGCAGGACCCUCGGCAAAGACAGCGCUCGGCAAAGAUUUCUUUGCCGAGGGUAGUGCCCUCGGCAAACGGAGACGCUCGGCAAAGAACGUCUUUGCCAAGCACCAGACGCUCGGCAAAGGCCCGCUCUUGGCAAAGGACAUCUUUCCCAAGCGCCAAGCGCUCGGCAACGGCUUGCACUCGGCAAAGAGAUAACACAUGUAACAUGGGGUACCUGCCGUCACCCUUUGCCGAGCGCCCUCCGUUAGGCGCUUGGCAAAGACAUCUCUUUGCCUAGCGCUGACGUUUGGCGCUCGGCAAAGGCAUCUCUUUGCCUAGCGCUGAAUUUUUGCGCUCGGCAAAGGCUCUCUUUGCCUAGCGCUGACUUUUGGCGCUCGGCAAAGAAUUUUUUUUUUAUUUACUUUUUGCUUCCAAACUUUUUUGUUUUGCAUUACACAUUAUUUAAUAGUAUAUGUUAAGGUUUUGGUAGUUUUUAAAAUCUUUUUAUUAUAUAUCUUUAGUUAAUUUGGUUUAAUUGAAUUUCUACGAUAAACGCGGGUUUGAACUGCAGGUGUAUCGAAUCUCCGAAUUCGACGGUUCAAAAAUUGAUAUUCGCUUUACAUAGCGUAUGUUAAGGCCAUAUCCAGGAGCACGCAUGAAAUAUCGAACAUCUCGCGCACGGAACACGGCGACCAAGUUGCGCGUGAAGUGCUAUUAAAUUAUAUAAAAUGCAAAUGAAGUCGAAAAAUUACAUAACUUAGCGACACGUCUUUGGAACACAUGUGGAUGCUAUGGUAAAAAUUUGGUAAAGUUUCGUGCAUGUUGUCACGGAAGUUAGUUAGAAACCUAGUGAUAACUAGGUCAGUGCCGAGGUGUUACUGACUUGCGUUUGAAUUUCAAUAAAAUUUUCUCUGAUUUACCACAUUGUUCUGCUUUUUUUCAUCUCUACACAGGUACAAGGUUCAUGCAAUUACUCCUACCAAAACCUCAGUUGACCCUCGCAUAGCAGCUCUGUACACUAAAGCGUCUAGCCUUGUGGGCAUUGAUGAGCCAAAGGAAGAGCUGAUCUCAAUGUUGACAAAGGAAGAUGGUGGCAGGUCAUCGGCUGAACAAUGGAUAGUCUCUAUCGUUGGCUUUGGAGGACUAGGCAAGACAACGCUUGCUAAAGCAGUUUAUGAUAAGAUUAAACCACAAUUCGAUUGCACGGCUUUUAUAUCGGUGUCUCGUGAUCCUGAUAUUAUAAAAAUUUUCAAGGACAUGCUUUAUGAGCUUGAUAACAAAGAGUAUUGGGACAUUCACAACAUUGCAUUGGGUCAACAUUAUCUUACUGACCUUGUCCAUGAAUUUCUCAAAAAUAAGAGGUACGUAGUGUCUUGUCUUGUAGUCCCAAAUAAUCACGGCAUGAGUCCAUUGGAUGAAGUCCUCUGAAAAUCAUUACGCAUAUGCAUAGUACUGUAAACAGUAAAAUUAUAGGUUUAUCAUUCGUUGUGUAUCUUCUUUCCAUUGUAAAAUUGACCAAUCCAUUUUUUACUUUGAAGAAAAUUAUUACACAACUGUUUUUUCUGUUAAGAAAAUUAUUACUUUAAAGCUUUUGUAAGGUCUUGUGGUUAGCAUUUGGAGGUCUUUAGUUCCAACCUUGAGCUCUGAGUCAAUGAGCUGGAGGCUGGAGCACAUUAGUUUUACACAAUCGAAGGCAUUGACCGCUAAAAAAUGGUUGGUUUUUCUUUUUCUUUUUUAGAUAACAAAUUGAUACAGCCGAAUGCUUUGGCUAUGGGAAAGUUAUAUAUUUUUUUGAAAAAAAGUUGAUACGGCCGAAGGCUUGGUUCACCUUCGGUAUGUUACACACAAAUAGCAAGAGCGUGCAUGUUUGACAUGUAUGUGAGCAGAGGAUGACACUAAUGAAUGCACGUUAGUUUUUUCGUAUUGAACUUAGUUAUUGAGAUAGUGGUGAAAAGGAUUCGACAACUCCCGAAGGCUCCAAGUUGUAACGUAGGAGCGACAACUCUGAAUGUCCACCGACACUCGGCUAGAGAACGUAUACUGAUGAAGACCUAGCCGAAGAAGGUCUGUCAACGAAGACAUGGCUAGAGAGGUCUUUAAUGAUGCUCCAACUUCUGGCUGUUCUGAAAAAUUUGGUGCCGAGCAUGGUGGGCACCAAUAUUGGGAAAGCAGUUCCCGAACAUGUUUAGAAGACUAGAAAGAGGUUGCUAGGGUUUUCAACCAGAGUCAGAAGGGAGAGCCCCCUUGCCCUCUUGCUCUAGGCACUAUGUAUAGGUAAGCUUUAAUUUACAAGCGACCCCUUGAUGGGGCUUGGUUUUACAUGCCACUUCAAUCACUACUACAGAAUAACUUAACCGCGACCUUUUUGAAACCCACUCGGAGGCGAGCACAAUUUGCAACCGCCUUAAUUAAUGCCUCGGAUUAACCAAGACGGUCAUUUUUUAUUAACUGAGGCAGUUAAUCCUAAAAUCCAUUAACUGAGGCAGGCAAUAUAAUAUAACUGUCUCGGUUAAUGCCUAUUAAUCAAGGCGGGCAUUAUAGCGCAACCUCCUCGGUAAAUCAUUAAUCGAGGCAGUUAUAUUACAUUGCCCGCCUCCUAAAAUCUAGCCCAGCGAACUACAAUUUCUCAGCCACAUACCAGAGACGAGACCCGAUAUGAGCGAGCAGUAUAUAAACAAAAGUUAUGGUUUCUAGCUAACUAAUCCCCUCACUCCCACCCUCCCCAGACGCCUCACUCCCAACCGAGAGCGGUUGCUCUCCUGGCCGCACGCAGGUCACCCCAGCCUCUCCUAGCGGCGGAAGGUGGCUGCCCAUCCUGGGAGUACGGAGCAGCAACAACAAGUAGUCGAUCGGCAGGACAACAUCAUAGGGGCACGCGCCUGUUCCCACUCUGGCCGCGGCACACGAGGGCACGGCCCCCGCUUUCAGUGGCAUCAUGCGGGGCGUGGCCCUCCCCACUCCAGCGGCAGCCGUCACGGGGGGUACGACCCUCCCCACUCCGGCAGUAGCUCAUGGGGGCGCGCCCCCUCCUUUGGUGGCAUUGCGGGGGGCGUGGCCCUCCCCACUCUGGCGGCGGCGUGGAGCAGGUGGUGCGGCCUCUCCUCUGCCGUCAUCCCGAGGCCCUCCUUUGGCUCCUCACCAGCCCCACAGCCCCAGCCGCCCGACCCUCUCCCGGUGGCGCGGUGCCUGACCCUCUCUAGCAGCGGUGUCGCACGGGAACCAACGUGAGGCUAUGAGGACGGCGGCAUCGAGGGCUGUGUGUCUGGAGUAGGGCGGGGACAAUGGUGGAUUGGGCUUGGCGGGCACAUCGAUGGGCUUUUUAUUUUUUCUAAUUUAUUUAUCGAGGGGGGCGAGCAAGCGCCUCUGUUAAUGAUUGAUUAACGGUGACUUUCUAUUGGAGGCGUUUAUCUUGCCCGCCUCGGAAAAUCCUUUUUGCCCACCUUAGAAAAAGAAUUCUCUAGUAGUGAAUGGCACUAGCUAGGCCUCUUCUAGGGCACUUGGCCCAUAUGAAUAUGGCAUGUCCCAAUAUCCCGUUUAACCAAAGUGUCUGACCAGUAUUGGUCGCUAUGUUUACAUGUACUUUUGGUUUUCAUUGCCAGGAAACAAUCUCUCAAUAUUACUGCACACAUGUGUGGUGUUUGUCAGUACAAAAAUAUUAGAUUUGUGACAUAGGGAUAUACUAGUCGGUGAGUAAUUAAGAAAGUGUGCAUAUAUCAUGUUGUUCCAUUGAAGAAACAACCAAUCUCUUUUUGUAUUUUGCUAUUACAAUUUUUAUUCCAAAUGAUUACACAAUUGUAGUUAUAUUCCCGCACUCCGAGUACAUAGACCUAAUCUCACUAGUACAGGGAAGGGCUUUAGCCCCGGGCCGUAAGCACCUUUAGUCCCAGCUACGGAACCGGGGCUAAGGUUUCGGGACUAAAUGUCCCACCUUUAGUCCCGGUUCCGUGGACCGGGACUAAAGUCCACCUUUAGUCCCGGUUGGUAACAGCAAACAGGACUAAAAGGUGCGCCAGGGUGUGCCACCUGGCCUCCACUUUUAGUCCCGGUUGUUGCUACCAACCGGGACUAAAGACUUUUUUCUUUUUUCUUUUUUCUUUUUCUUUUCAUUUAGUUUUCCAUUUAGGGUUUACAAUUAUGUUAUUGUUAUUUUCGAAUGCGUAUUGUUUGCUGGUAGUUUAUGGAAUGCGCACCUAUAAUUUAUAUAAUUUAAAGGAUUACAUAUAAAUAUACUAUAAAACACUAUAUAUAUAAAUAAUAUGUAUCUAUAGGUACAUAAUAAAAUAUUUACACAUAUGCUUCACGGACAAAGUAUUUAUAACACAAUUUAUCUCCACCACUCAAGCAUCGUACAAAUGAUCAUCGUUAUUUGGUUUCAUCUGCUCCUGAGGGUUGAAGUAGCACUCGCCGUCGGAAUCCAGGACUUGGUCGUUAAGAAAUCCUACGAUUGUCUCCUGAAUUCCUUUUAGGCGCACCGCAUCCAACACCUGCUCCUUCAGCCACAUCUCCUUUAAUAGACAUUAAAGAAAAAAGUUAGAGGUAUGAAUAGGAUUUAUUAAAUAGCAACAAAUAAAUGAAAUAUUCUUAUUAUAUAUACAUGUUACAUACUUUUAGGUGCUCAAGAUUAGUUCUUUUGGCAUACACCGUCGUAAACUCGCACACAUAGUAGCCACACAAAUUGUUGUCCGGUGUCUGCCGUAGAACCCACUGAAGUAAGAUGGGCUUUGAAAGUGCUGCAUUCAACUCUGGUAAAUUCUCUAUUUCUAAUUUUUCUAAACAAGCUAAAUUAAAAAAGCACAAAAAUUCUCUAUUUUUCUAAAUAAUCAUGAAAUGUGGUAUGUAUACUAGUUAUAAUUAACUAACUAAAUCGGUCAAAAAUUACAAAUUAAAGUAUUAUAUGUUUUUAUUUUUUUUAAACUAAUUAAAAUAAAAAAACAUAUUACCACUAUUUCUCUAAAAAAACGCGUCGCUUUUGAAAUGACGAUGAAGCUAAUAACCUCUUUAAAAACCAUAAAAUAAAAAACAAUAUACAUAACACUAGGAAAUGACAUACGCCGCUUCUAAAUGUUGAGAAAAUGAAGCUAGUGACCUCUUAACAAGUCGAUGACGGUGUAGAAACGAUGAAAUGAAUCAAUAGCCGGAGAUGAGAGCAAGAACAAGCAACUCCAAAUGAAGAACACAGCAAAAGAGUGAAGAUCGAUGGGCUCGGCCACGGGAAGAAGAGUUCAAAUAUGGGGAGGGACAUUGAGUCCCGGUUCCUUUUAAAAACAGGGUCUAAAUUCCAACACUAGUCCCGGCCGGUGGGACGGACCGGGACAAAAGCUUUUACUCCCGGUUGGUGGUACCAACCGGGACUAAAGGCUAGGCUUUGGUCCCGGUUGGUGAGACCAACCGGGACUAAAAGUCCCCUCUGCCGAUGUCUGACAUAAUAGCCGUUGGGCAGUUGGUCUCACCAACCGGGACUAAAAUAUGUUUUUGUCCCGCACUCUGUUUUGGCCGAGAUUAUUGUUCAUUUUGGGCAAGUGACCAAAGGCCUGUUCUGAGUCCAAACAGGAUAACUUUUAGUGUUUAGGGUAGAAAUUAGAAAGCAGUAAGAAUGAAAUUGUUUCAACUUUACGCCAAGCAUGUUCUUACUUACCUUGCAGUAUUACCAUCAUAUGCUUAUAUAUACUGCAUAUCAUCUCUAUAUAUGCUUAUUAUGACUCUAUUGCCCUCCCCACUCUGGCGGUGACGCGCGGGGGCACGGACCCCUCCUCCAGCGGCGGCGUGGAGCAGGUGGUGCGGCCUCUCCUCUGGCGUCAUCCUGAGGCCCUCCUUUUGCUCCUCACCAACCCCACAGCCCCAGCCGCCCGACCCUCUCCCGGUGGCGCGGUGCCUGACCCUCUCUAGCAGCGGUGUCGCACGGGAACCAAUGUGAGGCUAUGAGGACAGCGGCAUCGAGGGCUGUGUGUCUGGAGUAGGGCGGGGACAAUGGUGGAUUGGGCUUGGCGGGCACAUCGAUGGGCUUGGCGGGCACAUCGAUGGGCUUCUUAUUUUUUCUAAUUUAUUUACCGAGGGGGGCAAGCAAGUGCCUCCGUUAAUGCUUGAUUAACGGUGACUUUCUAUUGGAGGCGUUUAUCUUGCCUGCCUCGGAAAAUCCUUUUUGCCCACCUUAGAAAAAGAAUUCUGUAGUAGUGAAUGGCACUAGUUAGGCCUCUUCUAGGGCACUUGGCCCAUAUGAAUAUGGCAUGUCCCAAUAUCCCGUUUAACCAAAGUGUCUGACCAGUAUUGGUCGCUAUGUUUACAUGUACUUUUGGUUUUCAUUGCCAGGAAACAAUCUCUCAAUAUUACUGCACACAUGUGUGGUGUUUGUCAGUACAAAAAUAUUAGAUUUGUGACAUAGGGAUAUACUAGUUGGUGAGUAAUUAAGAAAGUGUGCAUAUAUCAUGUUGUUCCAUUGAAGAAACAACCAAUCUCUUUUUGUAUUUUGCUAUUACAAUUUUUAUUCCGAAUGAUUACACAAUUGUAGUUAUAUUCCCACACUCCGAGUACAUAUACCUAAUCUGAGUCCAAACAGGAUAACUUUUAUUGUUUAGAGUAGAAAUUAGAAAGCAGUAAGAAUGAAAUUGUUUCAACUUUACGCCAAGCAUGUUCUUACUUACCUUGCAGUAUUACCAUCAUAUGCUUAUAUAUACUGCAUAUCAUCUCUAUAUAUGCUUAUCAUGACUCUAUUGCCGCAAACAUAUAGGUACCUCAUUGUUAUCGAUGAUAUAUGGGAUACAAAACCAUGGGAGAUGAUACGAUGUGCUCUACCAGAGAACGGCCAGAAAAGUAGAGUACUCACAACUACCCGCAUAAUUGAUGUUGCUGAGCAUGUUGGUGGUUGCUAUAGGAUGAAACAUCUUACUGACAAGAGCUCUAAAAUCAUAUUCUAUGGUCGAAUAUUUGGCUCUAUAGGCAAUUGUCCUCAACAAUUUUCUGAUAUAUCUGAAAAAGUUUUGAAGAAAUGUGGAGGUGUUCCAUUAGCUAUUGUUACCAUAUCAAGCUUGCUGGCUAAUAAGACAAGAAGUAUUAAUGAGUGGUCCAAUGUGUGUGAUGCAAUUGGUGCCGGAGUAGGAAACAAUCCCGGUAUGGACAACAUGAGGAAGAUAUUGCUGCUUAGCUAUUAUGAUCUAACUCCUCAACUGAAGACAUGCUUACUGUAUCUAAGUAUAUUUCCUGAAGAUUAUGAGUUUCGAAAAACUACAUUGAUUUUGAGGUGGAUAGCUGAAGGAUUUGUCCAACUAGAAGAUGGGAGGCAAAGCUUAUUUGAGGUUGGACAGAGUUACUACCAUGAGCUUCUAAACAGAUGCCUCAUCCAGCCAGGAGACAGUGAGGGGGAUGACUUGUCUCCUCUUAGAUGCCGGGUGCAUGAUAUGGUGCUUGAUCUCAUUUGUUCCUUGUCAAGAGAUGAAAGUUUUGCUACCACUGUAUAUGGUGACUGCAGGCAAAUCACAUCUUCAGAAAACAAGGUUCGCAGGCUCUCUAUCCAUAAUGCUAGCUGGCCUACAAUGAACAUGUCAAAAUUAAGAUCCCUUACUAUAAGCAAUUCUGCUAUAAUUAAUUCAAUGCCACCCUUUUUGUGCUAUCAUCUUUUGCGUGUAUUGGAUUUUGAAAAGUGCAAUCUUAAAGACCAUACAAGUCUAGAGUUUCUUUGUAAAUUAUUUCACCUGAGGUUUCUAAGUCUAGUAGAUACUGGAUACGCUGGUGAGGUCCCAAGGGAGAUAGGGAAUCUACAGUUUUUGCAGACUUUUUACUUCUCUGGAACUUACAUAAAACAAGUCCCAUUGAGUAUCUUGGGGAUGAGACAACUAAUGUGCCUUGCCGUUGGGAUGAAUACAAGGCUGCCAACAAGUGGAUUGAGAAAUCUAUCGUCUCUGGAGCUGCUUCGGAUGAAUGUGGAUUCUGCAUACAUUGCAGAAGAGCUGGGCCAUCUGACGCAACUGAGGGUGCUAAUGGUUGUUCUCAGGAAGGACAAGGAAGGCAGAUGGGAUGAAAGGAUAUGCAGAGUUCUGGUGGGGUCCCUUAGCAAACUGCACAAAAUCCAAACUCUACAAGUAGAAAUCUCAGAUGACGUGGAAGUUCAUCUUGAAGGCUCAGUGGACUCCCCGUGGAAUCUAUCUCAUCUUGUUAUUUUUGGAACCAGUCGGCUGCCGACAUGGAUUGAUCACACAUCAUUUCAACUCCUAUCCCAGCUAUGCAUAAAGGUGGGUCAAGUUGGAAGGGAGGACAUCCAUGUCCUCGGCCGGCUGAAGGCUCUUCGUGUUCUCCACCUGGGAAUGGUUGGCGCCAAACAAGUGUUUGAAAGGUUCAUGAUUAGCGCUGAUGCCUUCCCAUGUGUGACACGGUGUGUAUUCUCGGGGUUUUCGACGGUGCCAUCUAUGUUCCCACCUGGAGCUAUGCCGAGCCUUCAACGGUUUUGUUUUGAUAUAAGACUAGAGGAUUUCGGUGAUGAUAGUGGAUUUACAGUUGACGACCUGGCCUUAUGCCACCUCCCGUCACUACAGAGGGUUUGGGUUUGCCUAGAUGGAGAGAGAGCCAGAGACAUCAAAGAUGUGGCAAUGAAAGCCCUGACGAAAGAGGCACACGCCCACCCGAACCACCCUGAUAUUGAUGUCGGAAUCAAUGGGCAGUGGAGCCAGCUGUGCAGGUACAUAAGUACUCCUCUCUACCCGGUUCAGUAACUUUUCAAUAACACCUAUGCUUGCCAUGAAUACAGUGACAUCGAUGGCCCUAUGUAUCUCCAACAUACCACCAUGACAAAUUACAUGCAUGUUUUCCAUAAUGCUAGCUUGUUACAGUUUUAUGUCUAUAAUAAUAAUCCUUUACUUUUGCCAUGCAUGUAGUUAUAUAUACAUGUUAAUCAUCAUUCACUAGCGCAACGGGUCAUUUGACUGUGUAGCUGUGAGCUCUGUUGCUUUUCACAGCUAGAAUAAUCUGUUCCCGUAUUCUGAAUCAAAUUGGCUGACCCCCGUAGGAAUUGUGACCUUUCUAUUACUAAUUGAUGCAAGUUCCUUGGUGUGUACAUGCACCAGGUAAUGGAAGGAUGUACGCACUAGUUCUAUGGAUUUUCAGCGGAGGACCUCCACCACUACCUACAACAUGUUCCCCCCUUCGAAGAUAUUCACCAAUAUAUGUCCCACUCCCACCUGUUGCGCACGGUCUCCACCUCUCGUAUGUCGCCAUUGCAGUUUAUUCAUCUACAGCAUUGCCACUGCGUGUGAUCUAGCUUAACUCUGAGAUCACCGUCGAUUCUCCCCGCACUCAAAUAAUUGUGUUAACGUUCUUGUGUAUUUGAUCAUGCUUGCUGGAUCUCUGUAGAUCCACGUCCACCUGGCUUGCUCAAGGUUUCAAUUUACUUGUGCUCUUUAGACCUUCCCUCCCUCGAUUCUAAAUAAAUUAUAAAAUAUUUUGGCUUUUCUAUAUACUUAUGUACUUAUAUAUAUACUAUGUCUAUUUGCUCAUGCUGGGAUUGGCUUGCUGUAAUAUUGUGGAACAUUAAUGGAGGCACACUCAUAUGCUUCCUAUUAUCGUAGUUUGGAAUAUACUCUCUCCGUUCAAAACUUAAAAAAUGUUUUGGUCUUCUACAUGCAUUGCGGUUUAUAUGUUUUCAUGAUACAAAGAUUUUUUUUUCAUUUUAAGUUAGAACGGCACCGUUAGUUUGGACCGUCAAAUAACACUUUUCUUCCCCGAGUAUGGCUCUUCCCCGAGUGUUGCACUCGGGGAAGAGGGUCUUUCCCGAGUGUCGCUCUUCUCCGAGAGCCUGGUAGGCUACGGCACUUGGGAAAGCCUCUCUUCCCCGAGUGCAACACUCGGGGAAGAUUGGCUUCCCCGAGUGUCCGAUUUUUGGCACUCGGGGAAGCCUGUGACACUCGGGAAAUUUCGGUUCUCCCGUAGUGCUGGUUCCAUCCGACGGUGUUCGACGGUGAAGCUGCAGGUCUCGUGUGUCACCCAAUCGCCGGUGAUACGUGCAUGGAUCUCUAAUGCAGCAGUUGCUCCCGCCGGUCGAGCAAAAACGACAGGUCCCCCAUCUCGACGACCAUGUAUGGGUGAUCGGCCGGCCAACGGCGCUGGCAAAUCUUGCUGCGGGAUAGGCGGCCACGAAAGUGACCUGAAUCCUUGGCUUACGUACGGGAUGGUUUUCUUCCACCGUGACCAAACUCGCCGGUGUGGAAGCUAUCAUGCAACACAUCUAUUUUUAUGCACUCCAGUGUCCAGUCCAUCAAUACCAUGGCCUUGUUUAGUUCCCUAAAAAUUUUGCAAAAUUUUUCAGAUUCUCCGUCACAUCGAAUCUUUAGACGUAUGCAUGUAGUAUUAAAUAUAGAUGAAAAUAAAAACUAAUUGCACAGUUUGGUCGGAAUUGACGAAGCGAAUCUUUUGAUCCUAGUUAGUCCAUAAUUGGACAAUAUUUGUCAAAUACAAAUGAAAGUACUACUAUUCAUAUUUUGCAAAAAAUUUUGGAAGUAAACAAGGUCAUUUCAUAGAAUUUGAUUAUUGCUUCAGUCUACAAGUCUACAUCUAUUUUUUCUCAAUGUCGUUCUGUAAUUCUGCUCUAAUGGAUUAUAUAUUGUACAUCAUCAUAUAUAGUUGCUAUGAGUUCUGAUUUUUCCCUCCUAAUCUCAAGUAUUUUAAUCCAUGACAAAUUUCUUUUUCCCGUAUCAGUUGCACUUAUCCAGUAAUCUGCAAAUUAAAAUUUUUGCUUUCUUCUUGCCAACAUUACCAGAAAUCAACACGAAAAUUAGGAUAUAUACCUAAUUGUUGUUACAAACGAUCCUAAUUAUCGUAAUUACUUUAUGGUAAAUUAGUCUCGGUUACAGUAAUAUGUUUUCAUGGUGCGCCAAGCAGCCAAAUUUGAAUACAAACUCAACUACGACAAUCCUUAUUUGGAGUUAUUUAUUACUAUAAUCUGAAUACACACUCUUGCUAGGAAACGUUUACUAUUUUGUACUCCCUCCGUCCCUGAAAGAAUAGAUUUCUAGAUUAAAAAUUUGUUCCCAAAUAAAUCAAUUUCUAGGAUAUAUGGUCCCCACUGCUCGCCUCGUAUUCAUCGUGGCUUCCAAGACGCACACGCCUCGUCUCUCUCUCUCCUUCAUUUAGUGGUGGACAGUUGGUUGGAUGAGUAAAUGAUGUGAACAGCUCGUAGCCCAAAGCAGUGAUUCCUGUGCAUCUUAAUGGUAAAAUUCAUAUUAAUUAAGGAUAACUUAGUCAUUUCACAGCUAUGCUAAUCUGUCUGAAACUUGCUAGAAAUCUAUUUUUUCAGGGACGGAGGGAGUAAAUCUCUUCUUGUUGCAUGAAUCUGUUAACUCCUCGAAUAUUUACCACAGUUCACCAUAUGUAUAUUGGCAAAAGUUUCAAUAUACAUGUGCGCUCUCGUAAUCCUUGCAUGCGCAUGUACACUUCCGUGUUCUCGUCACACACAUUGACGUAUAUGAUCCUUGUUAGCUUUGCAUGCAUGCAUACGGCAUGAGCAAAUCAACAUGAGCAAAUCAAGGAGAAUCAAUUACGGUUGGCCACGUUAAUUAUAACUUUCCAAAAAUUACCGUAGCUACCUGCAUGCUGCAGCUCGGCUUCGUCACAUGGUCCACUCAGCUGCAUGCAAUGCAAUGGAAGUUGGCUGAAAUUAAGGCGAGCCAGUAAGAGCAAGUAUUAUAGUAGGCUGUAAGCCAGCUAAAUGCUGAGGUGGAGGAAAGAGAAAAGGAGAGAGAGUAAAAGCGGGCUGUAAGCUUACAGCCGGCUCACUGUGAGACAGAUAUAUGGGCCAUGUAUUAAUAAUGAUGAGUUAACCAUUAUAUAAGUGGGCUGCAAGAAGACUGUAAAGAAAUCUUACAGCCAGCAGCUGGCUGUAUAAUACUUGCUCUAACGCAGUAGUAGCCACGCAAUAAACUACCCAAUACAUUUUAAUAUUCUAGUAAAUAAUUGUGCAAAAAAUAUAGUAAAUAUAUUAUCGUAAUUACACCUAGAACGAAAAAGCAUAACUUCUAGUAAAUAAUUACAAAUUAUUUAAAAAUCUAGUAAAGAUUACUGUAAAAAUUAAAUCUAGUAAUCAUUACCGUAACUAGCUAGUCAGGGUAGAUCGAAAGACAUAACAAUUUGCAAGUCCAGUAAAUAUAUUAUCGUAACUAAUAAAAAGAGGCAGUAUAGAUUCUAGAAAACAAUUCAGCGCCUAAUUACCUCAUGACUAUAUAUUUACAUACGGCUAAAUUAUGUGCGCCAGUAAAUACCGCAUGCAUGCACCACACUCGGGUAAUUACUACACAACCUGGAUAAUAAUGUGAUUGGCUUGUGCACACGCACCAACGGUUCGGUGUUAGGACCUGGCUACAGAAUAACAUACAUAUUCUGUAUCUAGCUACAAAGUAUUCUCUCUCUCUCUCUCUCUCUCUCUCUCUCUCUCUCUAUAUAUAUAUAUAUAUAUAUAUAUAUAUAUAGUCUGGUUUUAAGUAUGUACUUAUACUGUCUUAAUGUAGCGUAUUCGUGUGUACUUCAUUCGGAAAUGUACUGCGUUCCAAAAUAUAUAUACAAGUACUGCAUUCUAAGAAGUAUGUACAUAUACUUCAUUCCAAAAUGUCUAUACAGAUACUCAUACACGAGCAAGCUCAAUUCAGAUAGGAAAUCACGGUAAGCUAGAAUCUUGGCGACCGUAUAAUGUAUAUAUUAUUUAAUUGAUUAAGUUUGUUAAAUGUAUGCUGCAUGGCUACUUGAAUUCUUACAGUAUCCACUACCCGUUAUGGCUAGUGGUGUUAACACAGCUAAAGAAAAAAUAUGGACAAGAAAAUUCGACAUGACCGCACACAAAAUCGAUUGCUCUAGCUUUUUUUAAAUAUAUAAUAAAGACACCUUUUCUAUUUUGAAGGAUGCUUAUAGCUGGAGGCGGAGCAUUGGAGGGCCAAGGUAGUGCAAUCCAGAUUCUCUGACUUUCACAGGUCACGCCGUUCAUUUGCGAUCCAACGAUGACUGCGCAUCUCAGCUUUCCCACUCCUAGCCUCCUCAGCCCAAACAUAGAAAGCAGUCUAAGGCCUUGUUUAGAUCCAAUUUUUUUUGGAUUUUGACACUGUAGCACUUUUGUUUUUAUUUGACAAACAUUGUCCAGUUAUGGAGUAACUAAGCUUAAAAGAUUCGUAUCGUGAUUUACAGGUAAACUGUGCAAUUAGUUAUCUUUUUAUCUAUAUUUAAUGUUCCAUGCAAGUGCCGCAAGAUUCGAUGUGAUGGGGAAUCUUGUAAAGUUUUAGGUUUUUGGGUGUAUCUAAACAAGGCCUAAGUAAGACCCAUGUUGUGGCUGAGGUAACCUAUUUUGCCGCUCAGUGACUGUUUUAGACGCCAAAAAUCACCGAGCGAAGGUUUUUGCCGCGUCUGCAUUGCCGCCGCCUCCACCAGAGGUCGCGCUCGCCUUUGCCCUUGCGUCUGCUCCGCUCGUCACGCUAGCCGGAAUCAUCAUGUUGUGGAGCGACAUCCUCGUGAAGCUACCAUGUGAGGGUGCCGCGAUUGGCGAAGUGGUGAUUGACGCGCUUGCUGUGAUGUUGCGAACUGGUUGAUGAUCGGCUUCUCUUUUUGGUCUUCCUUCCUGUGAUACUAAUGGCAGAACCCAACAAAUAAGUAAUGCUUGCAUUCGAUUUUUCCCUCUUUGUUUGCUUCAAGACGUGUAGCAAUGAGCCAAUGACCAUGUAGCAAUCAGCCACGAAAUGGGCCUUAAUUGGGCUGCUUUUCAUGUUUGGGCUGGAGUAGGAAAGCUGAGAUAUGAAGCCACCGUUGGAUCGUAUUGAGAUGUGUGUUUGCACACUUCUCAAUGCGAAUUCAGUGGUAGAGAGAGUGGGAGCACAUGCUCUUGAGGGCAAAAAUAAGUUUACCGAAAGUCACCUAUGACUUUUUCUGGAGGAAGUUAUUAGAGAAUCUAGAUUGAAGGUAGUGGCCGGCAGGAUAGGUUGGGUCGUGGGCCUGGGCAGCUGAUUCGAUUCGACUCUUCCACUAAAAUUUAUCGAUGCUGCAGCUUUCUUUAAUUAGUGCGGUCCAGCAAGGCGAAGCAUUGCAUUCUGUACAAAGUGUGAAUCGUCAGACUUCAUGCUCGCUCAGCUUCCCAUUGUUUGGCGCACGCUGGCCAUUCCGGGCAUCGUCACUGUCGCCCAUGGUCUCCUCGAUGGGCUCUAAACCUCGGUGAGUGAAGCGUGUUCAAUUGGAAAGUUUAAUUAAAGAGACUAUAAUAUGAAUUACAGGUUUUUCAUUGAGUCUGGAGUUAAAGCACUGAUUUCAUUUGUUUAUGCGGCUCUUCCCAGAUGCGUCUCGCUCAACCCCAUUCGAGCAAACUCCUGCACCACUCUUCAAUCCCCACUGCUCAUCUCAGCUAUAGGCUCCAUGAAACCGUGGUGAGUUGCACAUCUUCCAUUUUGAUUUAAUUUGUUGCUUUUUCUUCUGCUGCUGCUUCUCUUUUCGUGGUGGAUUAAUGCUGCUUCUGCAUUCUAAUCUGCACGAAAGCUCUUUUCUGAUCUCUAGAUCUUCAUUCAAAUUAAAUGUGCUUUCAGGGAUAUCAGUAGUCAGUAGUGACCUUGGGGGCCAUGGAGUUUGCGACUGGGGCACUGGGCACCCUGCUUCCCAAGCUAGGACAGCUGCUCCAAGAUGAGUACAACCUUCAGAAGGGAGUGAAGAAAGACAUCCAGUUCGUCAGGAAAGAGCUGGAGAGUAUGCAUGCCGCCCUCCGCGAUGUCGGAGAGGUGCCACAGGAGCAGCUCAAAGAAGUAAUUAGGAUCUGGGCUCGGGAUGUUCGGGAGCUCUCCUACGACAUGGAGGACAUAGUUGACACCUUCCUGGUGCGUGUCCAGGGCUCCGAGCCUCCCAGCAAAAGGAGUGUGAAAAGGUUCGUCAAGAAGAUGACAAGUAUUGUGAGCAACGCCAAGACUCGCCAUGACAUUGGCCAAGAGAUCAAGGACAUCAAGGAGCGUGUCAAAGAC